UAAAGGUAGUCCACGAUCGUUUUCAUUAA
rnacentral:sRNA from 1 species